GUUAAGUUUCAGUUUCGAUACUAUCCAAAAAAACAUGGAGUCCGUCUGAUGUGCGACAAAACUGAGUCGGUGAAGGAGUUGUAAAGACGUUUAAAGGCUGUAGAGAAGAUUUAGAAUAGCUAGAAAACAAUUCAAAACGUUUACGCGUCGAUUAAACCGCGCUGGUUUUAGCUUGGCUUUAGAUUUAUUUCCCUACCAGAGCAUCGCCUGCUGUCGCCACCUGAAUUCAGGCAGUGCUUCAACAUGUUGGAAGAAUCAGGACCCGAGUGGUUAUCUGAGGAGGUGAAAACCGGGACAACCAUCAUUGCCAUAGAAUAUAAUGGAGGAGUGGUGCUUGGAUCAGACUCGCGGGUGUCUGCAGGCGCCUCAGUGGUGAAUAGAGUGAUGAACAAACUUUCUCCUCUCCAUGACAAGAUCUACUGCGCUCUGUCAGGUUCUGCAGCAGACGCCCAGACCAUUGCAGAGAUAGUCAACUACCAGCUGGAUGUGCACAGUGCUGAGAUAGGUGAAGACCCCCAGGUUCGCUCAGCUGCCACCCUGGUGAAGAACAUCUCCUACAAAUACAAGGAGGAGCUGUCAGCGCAUCUCAUUGUGGCUGGCUGGGACAGAAGAGAAGGGGGGCAGGUGUUCGCGACCCUGAAUGGCCUCCUGACAAGGCAGCCUUUUGCAGUCGGUGGAUCUGGCAGUUCCUACGUCUACGGUUUUGUUGACGCAGAGUAUCGCAAAGGAAUGACAAAGGAAGAGUGCCAGAAGUUUGUUGUCAACACUCUCACUUUGGCAAUGAGUCGUGACGGCUCCAGUGGAGGCGUGGCCUACAUUGUCAGCAUAGAUGAACACAGCACAGAGGAGAAAGUGAUUCUGGGAAAUAAGUUACCAACCUUCUAUGACCAGUGAUCAACACAUGCAGUUUCUAAUUUCUAAAGUGUUGUGCAAAGAGUGCAAUUAGGUAUUUCUUUUCAUCAUAUAUGCCCAUGCUGUGACUUAGAAGCUUAUAGCAGCUGAUUCAUUCCUGCCUACCUGCAAAAAAAGCAAACACAUGUUUUUAAUAAAGAACAUUUCAUACAGGCAUUUGGCACCUGGUGGGUGGUUAUUUCAGACCUCUCAGUUGACUCUUGACAUAUUUAUGCAAUGUACCAGAGGGUGAGCAAUUUGCAGCACCACUGGAAGAUAUAUGGGUUUAUCAUCUUGCUCAAAGAUUAAGUCUUUGGUUGUGGACCACAUGACAAGUACUAAUACAAUUUGUGAAUUUAUAUAAAUGUAAAAUUAUAUAAAUACCAUGCAUAACAUGUUCAGCAUCUAACCUACUCUGAGCUCCUCUGUAGACUGGCUCAAGAACUCCUCAGCUUUCCCUGUAAUUCAACUGCGGUUGACUCUGUGGUAACCUGUCUGAGGAAAAACAUUCAGGUAGACUAAUCUUAUAGAGUAAGGGGCUGUAUAACAAAUUAAGAUGUUUAGGAAGUGACUAAUUUUCUCUACAGUUAACAGUGACUUUUUUUAUCCCAUCAUUAAACUUGCUCACUCAUUCACACUAGGCUUUUUACCAGACAGCUAAUUUAAAAACAGAUUAUAGACUGUAAUCUAUUCUAAACUGUAUGGGCAGUCAGUAGCCACCUUUUUCUCUGAUAGCUGCAAUUGCCUGUUUUGUGACAAUAAAUAAAUAAAACUCUGU